AACGCAUAUUGCGCCCUCUGGUAUUCCGGGGGGCAUGCCUGUUCGAGCGUUUUUAAUAAAAAUCAAGUUUUAAAAUACUUGGUAUUGGGCUUUACGUCUAUUUUGUGGAUGGGCCUAAAAAUUAGUGGCGAUUGCCCCCUUUCUUGGCUUUCAAGCGUAGUAAAAUUUUUUUCUCGUUUGAUAAAAAAGUUGGGGAGGAAAAUUUGUCAAAUUUUUUUUUUAAAAAUUAGACCUCGGAUCAGGUAGGAAUACCCGCUGAACUUAA
rnacentral:misc_RNA from 1 species